UACGUAGGGGGCAAGCGUUGUCCGGAAUCACUGGGCGUAAAGCGCGUGUAGGCGGCCCGGUAAGUCCGCUGUAAAAGUCCAGGGCUCAACCCUGGAAGGCCGGUGGAUACUGUCGGGCUCGAGUCCGGAAGAGGCGAGUGGAAUUCCUGGUGUAGCGGUGAAAUGCGCAGAUAUCAGGAGGAACACCAAUGGCGAAGGCAGCUCGCUGGGACGGUACUGACGCUGAGACGCGAAAGCGUGGGGAGCAAACAGG
rnacentral:rRNA from 1 species